GGAUGUGAGGGUGACCUGGGUGUGACAUCUGUCACCCCAUUGAUUUCCGGGGUUGAUUUGGCUGUUCUGGUUGCUGGAUCACCGCUCGCUCCAUAAGUGCCCUCUUGAGGCUGCAUGCGGUGGAGGAGGGAGACCACUCCCCAGCACAGGAGGACUACCAGUAGCUGCAGUCCUCUCUCAGAACCUCAGACGAGCUCCCAAGUAGCUGAGAUUAUAGGCAGGCACCACCACACCGGGCUGU
ensembl:misc_RNA 7SK 7SK RNA